CGUAUUAUGCUGCCUGCCAGCCGCCGCACAUGCCUGUUUCCGCGACGGCAGCCUGUGUUGCACACAGCGCGCAAUCCUAUUGGUAAGUU
rfam:Pantoea sp. PSNIH2, complete genome.